CACUGGUCGAGUCGGCCUGCGCGGAAGAUGUAACGGGGCUAAACCAUGCACCGAAGCUGCGGCAGCGACACUGUGUGUUGUUGGGUAGGGGAGCGUUCUGUAAGCCUGUGAAGGUGUGCUGUGAGGCAUGCUGGAGGUAUCAGAAGUGCGAAUGCUGACAUAAGUAACGAUAAAGCGGGUGAAAAGCCCGCUCGCCGGAAGACCAAGGGUUCCUGUCCAACGUUAAUCGGGGCAGGGUGAGUCGACCCCUAAGGCGAGGCCGAAAGGCGUAGUCGAUGGGAAACAGGUUAAUAUUCCUGUACUUGGUGUUACUGCGAAGGGGGGACGGAGAAGGCUAUGUUGGCCGGGCGACGGUUGUCCCGGUUUAAGCGUGUAGGCUGGUUUUCCAGGCAAAUCCGGAAAAUCAAGGCUGAGGCGUGAUGACGAGGCACUACGGUGCUGAAGCAACAAAUGCCCUGCUUCCAGGAAAAGCCUCUAAGCAUCAGGUAACAUCAAAUCGUACCCCAAACCGACACAGGUGGUCAGGUAGAGAAUACCAAGGCGCUUGAGAGAACUCGGGUGAAGGAACUAGGCAAAAUGGUGCCGUAACUUCGGGAGAAGGCACGCUGAUAUGUAGGUGAAGUCCCUCGCGGAUGGAGCUGAAAUCAGUCGAAGAUACCAGCUGGCUGCAACUGUUUAUUAAAAACACAGCACUGUGCAAACACGAAAGUGGACGUAUACGGUGUGACGCCUGCCCGGUGCCGGAAGGUUAAUUGAUGGGGUCAGCGCAAGCGAAGCUCUUGAUCGAAGCCCCGGUAAACGGCGGCCGUAACUAUAACGGUCCUAAGGUAGCGAAAUUCCUUGUCGGGUAAGUUCCGACCUGCACGAAUGGCGUAAUGAUGGCCAGGCUGUCUCCACCCGAGACUCAGUGAAAUUGAACUCGCUGUGAAGAUGCAGUGUACCCGCGGCAAGACGGAAAGACCCCGUGAACCUUUACUAUAGCUUGACACUGAACAUUGAGCCUUGAUGUGUAGGAUAGGUGGGAGGCUUUGAAGUGUGGACGCCAGUCUGCAUGGAGCCGACCUUGAAAUACCACCCUUUAAUGUUUGAUGUUCUAACGUGGACCCGUGAUCCGGGUUGCGGACAGUGUCUGGUGGGUAGUUUGACUGGGGCGGUCUCCUCCUAAAGAGUAACGGAGGAGCACGAAGGUUGGCUAAUCCUGGUCGGACAUCAGGAGGUUAGUGCAAUGGCAUAAGCCAGCUUGACUGCGAGCGUGACGGCGCGAGCAGGUGCGAAAGCAGGUCAUAGUGAUCCGGUGGUUCUGAAUGGAAGGGCCAUCGCUCAACGGAUAAAAGGUACUCCGGGGAUAACAGGCUGAUACCGCCCAAGAGUUCAUAUCGACGGCGGUGUUUGGCACCUCGAUGUCGGCUCAUCACAUCCUGGGGCUGAAGUAGGUCCCAAGGGUAUGGCUGUUCGCCAUUUAAAGUGGUACGCGAGCUGGGUUUAGAACGUCGUGAGACAGUUCGGUCCCUAUCUGCCGUGGGCGCUGGAGAACUGAGGGGGGCUGCUCCUAGUACGAGAGGACCGGAGUGGACGCAUCACUGGUGUUCGGGUUGUCAUGCCAAUGGCACUGCCCGGUAGCUAAAUGCGGAAGAGAUAAGUGCUGAAAGCAUCUAAGCACGAAACUUGCCCCGAGAUGAGUUCUCCCUGACCCUUUAAGGGUCCUGAAGGAACGUUGAAGACGACGACGUUGAUAGGCCGGGUGUGUAAGCGCAGCGAUGCGUUGAGCUAACCGGUACUAAUGAACCGUGAGGCUUAACCUUACAACGCCGAAGGUGUUU
rnacentral:rRNA from 1 species